CUCCCUCUUUCUCUCUCCAUCGUGAACACACUAAAAACCUAACACAACCAUCAUCCUAACCCAACCAUCCCACCACCUGCCAAUCAUCAACAAAAUAAAAUUGCCACCACCAUCAUCAACAACACAACCACCACCCCACCACUACUGCACCACCCAAAUCAACCAACAAAUCAUAACAAACCCAAAAUCCAAACUCCACUACCGAGCUUCCUAGUAACACCACCUAAUUCUCAAAGACAAAUCAAAGAAUGAGAAACCAACUGAUUUGCUAAUAGAAUCAAAUCACCUAAUUCAGCCAAGCUUCCCAGUCACACCACCCAAUUCUCAAAGACAAAUCAAACCAACCGAUUUACCAAUAAAAUCAUUGAAAGCACCAAAAAGAGCAAACCUUUGGUUAUCUUGCCCAAGAAAGCAAAGAAUGAGACGACCUAUGAUGACUAAGACAACUCGCGACAACCUAGACACACAACCCACACUUACCCACGCCCACCACACCGGUACCACCUAUCGACCCAAAUAAUACACCAAACAUCGAUCCACGCAGAGAGAGAGCAACCCACACCCACCACCUUCAACCUACACCACCGCUUUCAACCAACGCUAAUCCACCGAUCCACGCAAAAAGAGAGAGAGCAACCCAUGUUGAUCCAUGCCGAUGCCUUCAACUAGAGAGAGAUAUGGCAACCCUUAAACUUGUUGCCUUCACAGAGAGAGAGAGAGAGAGAGAGAGAGAGAGAGGGUCUUGCAUGAGAGACAGAGAGAGAAGUGAGUCAAGGGAAAGAGAAAGAACAAAUAAAAUAGAUUAUUUUAUUUUUACAAUUGAGCUACAGUAUAGUAGCACAAUUGUAAAUUUUUUUACAAGUAGAAGGCGAGUAAUGGGCUUUUUUAUGCUUGGAUGCUAAAUAAUACCACCGUAUACCAUUUGCGUUACCAUGUACUGAUGCUCUUACUGUAGCUUUGUAAACCAUUAUUUUAUUAAUAUCCUAUUUUUAUAUUAUUAUCUUAUUUAGUCACUUUUUCUCUCUCUUAAACUGGUAUCUCUCCUCCUCUUCUUCCUCAUCAUUUUCGUUCUCUCCCAUAUCAGCUCUCACCCAAGUCUUCUUUCUUCAUCUCACUCUCCCUCUUCGUUUAAACAACAAUCACUCUAUGCCCAUCCAGCUCUGUAUCUAGAUCGGCUUCUUUUGAUGGUUGUGAAUGAACGUAAACCAAGAUUUAGAAGAACAGAGGAGGCUUCUUUGAUUCUCUCCAUGGCAGGCAUUUGUGUUUCAUGGUUGUGUUGUUGAUCCCGCGAGAUAGGCUUUGUGGUUGUGCGAAUUAUUUUUGUGUUUGAAGUCGAAGUUUGGGUGAGAUCAAUGGAUUUGUUUUGGGUUUCUGUUUUGGUUUAGAUUUGGGAAUCUGCUGGAAAUUUUUGUUGACGGGGGCGGUAGCUUUUGGUUGAGGUAAAAUAGACAUUUAAUUGGGAUGUAUAUGUGUAAGCCCCUUUUUUUUUCCUCUCAUCCGUGUUGUAUCUUCCAAUGUGCUGUCUCUUUCAAUUUUUUCUCCAUGAAUUAUCUAUUAUUUAAUUAUCAUCAUCGAUUCUCAAUGUUUUUUUUUUU